AUAAAGGAGGCAAAAAGGAUCAAAAAAGAAAAGAAAAAAGAAAAAAACUCUCUUCUCCUUUGCCCAAUAGAGUAGAGUAGUAUUUUUUUUUUUUCUACAAUCCUCAAAGCGUCAAAACCAAUUCAUCUCUCUUUCUUUGAAUUCCAUUUUUUCUCUCUCACACAGACACACACACUUUAAUCUGUGCUUCCCAUUCUCACACACACCCCUUUCCUAAAACACACAUUUCCCCUUUUUCCUAUUUAUAUUUCUACUUCUCUUUGGAUUUUCAAGAACCCCUUUAUGUAUGCUUCUUGGGAAUGAAAAAAAAUUCAAUCUUUAUCUGUUAGAAAAUCAAGAAAAGUUGUGGAUUUGUCAUUUUAUUUGGUUUCUUGGAAGUUUUUAUGUUUAGGGUUUCCAUUUCUAUUUUAAUCCCUUGAUCAAGUAUUCCUAUCAGAAGCUCCCCUUUAGGGUUCCUUUUGUUUUAAUUUUAAUCUUUUAUUUUGGGUAAAGGUGGGUUUUUUAUUUUAUUUUAUCAUUUUCUUGCAUUUUGGGGGUUGAUAUAUAAGACUAUAUAAAAGCUAUUAAGUAAUAUUGACACCCUUCUUGGUAAUUUAUGGUGAAUUGGCCUUAAUCAUAUAAUUGAACUACUUUGUUGGGGGGUUUUAUUUGUAAUUCAGAUUUAGUUUUUGUAUGAUAAGCUAGUUUGAAACAGCAUUUAGAGGGAAACUGGAGAAAAAAGGUUGGAUUUAUUGUUAAAGUUGUUGAAAAACAAAAGAAGAACAUUUUGUAGUUGGGUUAAAAACAAGUAGUGUUGUAUGGGAGAGCUUGAGGAAUGGGCAGAGCCAAGUGGGCUAUUGCCAAAUGGUCUAGUGGCAGAUGCGGGGCCCGUUAUCGGAGUCCUCGACUCUGAGAGAUGGUCAAAGGCUGAGGAAAGGACUGCAGAGCUUAUUGCCUGCAUUAAGCCUAAUCAACCAUCCGAGGAGCGUAGAAAUGCUGUUGCUGAUUACGUCCAGCGGCUCAUCAUGAAGUGUUUCCCAUGUCAGGUUUUUACAUUUGGCUCAGUACCCUUGAAGACUUAUCUUCCUGAUGGGGACAUUGAUUUAACUGCCUUCAGUAACAACCAAAGUUUAAAAGAUACAUGGGCUCAUCAGGUUCGUGAUAUGCUAGAGAAGGAGGAGAAAAAUGAAAAUGCUGAAUUUCAUGUUAAGGAGGUUCAGUACAUUCAGGCAGAAGUGAAGUUAAUUAAAUGUUUAGUUGAAAAUAUCGUGGUUGACAUAUCUUUCAAUCAGCUAGGGGGUCUAUGUACCCUUUGCUUCCUGGAGGAGGUUGAUCACCUGAUAAACCAGAAUCAUUUAUUCAAGCGCAGCAUUAUCUUGAUUAAGGCAUGGUGUUAUUAUGAGAGCCGUUUACUGGGUGCUCAUCACGGUCUCAUUUCAACUUAUGCCUUGGAAACAUUAGUUCUUUACAUAUUUCAUGUGUUCAACAAUUCCUUUGCUGGGCCACUUGAGGUCCUUUACCGCUUCUUGGAGUUCUUCAGCAACUUCGAUUGGGACAACUUUUGUGUUAGUUUAUGGGGUCCUGUGCCAAUCAGUUCACUUCCUGAUGUCACUGCGGAACCUCCUCGCAAAGAUGCUGGAGAAUUGCUUCUCAGUAAAUUGUUUCUUGAUGCCUGUAGCUCCGUCUAUGCUGUUUUUCCUGGUGGGCAGGAAAACCAAGGGCUACCUUUUGUCUCCAAAUAUUUUAAUGUGAUCGAUCCUUUACGAGUAAACAACAACCUUGGCCGUAGUGUGAGUAAAGGUAACUUUUAUAGGAUACGGAGUGCGUUCGGAUUUGGUGCCAAAAGGCUGGCAAGGUUACUGGACUGCCCCAAAGAAAAUCUAAUUUAUGAGGUAAACCAGUUUUUUAUGAAUACAUGGGAGAGGCAUGGCAGUGGCCAAAGGCCUGAUGCCCCAGAGGCAGAAUUGUCACGCCUAAGAUUGUCAACACCAGAUGACAUACCGGACUCUCAGAAUUUUAGGGUCAACCCCAGUGGGAAAAAGGUAAGUAAGGUGGAGGGAGCCAAUCCACGGAAUGUUUCUUCUCAACAUGGUAAUCACUCUUCUGGAACCUUCUCUAGAAUGAAUGAUUCUUCUGUGUCCUCUUAUACUGAAAACCAAAAGAGCCAUGGCAAUUUGAGCAACUCAAGGGUUCCUGAUCAAGUGCAGAAGGAAGCCACUUCCUCUCAGGUUUCACAUACCGACAAAAUCCAGAGAGAAUCAAAAUCUGAUCAAGUAGUGAAUGAUAUCCAGGGUAGGUUUGUUUUUGCCAGAACGCGGUCUAGUCCUGAGCUUACAGACACCUAUGGUGACAGUAACAAUCAAGGAAGGCGUGGAAGAGCUCCAGAGAUUGCAAAAACGCAACCCACUCCGAUGAGGCAGGACAGCAGUUAUAAGAGGAAGAACCAAGGAUCUGAAAAUAUAGCAGGUCAGAGCGGUCGAUCUUUAAAUGAUAACACGCCAUCUGUUAGACACGUUCCAUCCCAUCAGAGUCAUGAUCCUGUCACCGAAUCUAACGGUGGAUCAAAUAGCUUUCACCGAGAAUCAAGCAUUGAUGUUCUGAAUGAAGAGCUCUCAUCCACUAGCGGGACACAAGGGAUGCAUCAGGAAGAGCAAGAUCUUGUGAACAUGAUGGCAUCUACUUCAAUGCAUGGAUUUAAUGGGCAAGUUCAUUUUCCUUUUAACUGGGCUUCAGCUCAAUUGCCUUUUCCUAUCUCUCCUCCAUUUCUUACUUCUAUGGGUUAUAAUCAACGAAAUAUGCCAGGAGUUCCCACUAGUAUUCCUUUUAUGGAUCCUGCAUUCUCGAACAUGCAAUUUCCGCAUGGUUUGAUUUCACCCCAUUUCAACCAGUACUUCCCAGGCCUCGGGUUGAAUCCAACUUCUGAAGAUCCAAUUGACCGCAAUAAUGAAAAUUUUAGCCCUAUGGAGAUGAACUCAGGUGAGGCAGAAAAUGAUUUCUGGCAAGAGCCAGAUGCUGGCUCCAGUGUUGGAUUUGACCCAGAAAAUGGAAAUUAUGAAACACUUCAAUCUGAUUUUAAGCAACAGUCUAUACAUUCAGGUUUUAACUUUGUUCCUUCAUCUUGGGUUACUGGCUCCGGCAACUCUCUGGGAGCUCAGCAGAAGUAUAUGAAAGAAAAACGUGGGCCAAUUGGGGAAGAACAUUCUGAUAAUAUUCAGUUUCAGGAUAGCAGAGUGAAUGACAUUUAUGCUGAAGAAAGGAUGGCAAGUUCCAGGUUCUCAUCCAGUGCUCAUAGUAGUUCUAUGAGAAGUAAAACCUCUUCUGAGAGUUCUUGGGAUGGGUCUUCUGCUAAAAGCACAAAGUCAGCAAAGGAAAGCCGGGGAAAGAAAACAGGUGCUGCAGAGCCAACUAGUGGUUAUGGAAAAGGUAAAAUGAUGUCUGACCACGUGUCAGAUCAAGCUGAGGAUGAAGAUCAGGAUUGGAAUUCUGUGUCAAACGUGGGUACUGAAAUGGCUGAGAGAAUCCAAGGACCUCAAUCUGUUAUUUCCAUGCACCUUGCAAGGCAUGUGGCUGAACAUGAAGUUGCUCAGACAAGUGGAUCGGACCCAAUGAUGCCCAUUGCACCAAUGCUUAUUGGGCCUGGUUCUCGGCAAAGAAUGACUGAUAAUUCUGGGGUUAUUGCAUUUUAUCCCACUGGGCCACCAGUUCCAUUUCUAACUAUGCUUCCAAUAUACAAUAUUCCACCUGAGGCAGGAACACCUGAUUCUUCAACAAGCCCUUUAGGAGGAGAAGAAUGCUUAGAUCAUAGGGAUUCAGGCCAGAACUUUGAUACGUCUGAGGGAGUACUUGACCACUCUGAAGAUUUAACUCCAUCCAGUUCUUUUAGAGGGGCUACUUCUAUUGAGGCACCUGAUGAACACAGGCCCGAUAUACUUAACAGUGACUUUGCUAGUCACUGGCAAAAUUUGCAAUAUGGAAGGUUUUGCCAAAACCCUAGACAUUCUGGACAACUUGUUUAUCCUUCUCCUGUAAUGGUACCACCUGUAUAUUUACAGGGUCGUUUCCCGUGGGAUGGUCCUGGACGACCUCAUUCAGCGAACAUGAACCACUUUACUCAGCUGACAAGCUAUGGUCCUCGUGCAUUGCCCAUUGCACCUCUACAGUCUGCUUCUAAUAGACCUCCUAAUGUGUUUCAACGGUAUGUUGAUGAGAUACCAAGAUUCCGCAGCGGGACAGGGACGUACCUGCCAAAUCCUAAGGUUUCAGUUAGGGAUCGGCACUCAUCUAAUACAAGAAGGGGGAAUUACAACUAUGAGAGAAACGAUAACCAUGUGGACAGAGAAUCGAAUUGGACUAUGAAUCCAAAAUCUCGUGCUGGUGGGCGCAAUUACAACCGCAGCCAAUCUGAGAAAUCAAACUCAAGAGGGGAUAGGUUGGCAUCCAAUGAUAGCCGGGCAGACAGAUCAUGGAGCUCACAUAGGCAUGACUCCGUUCCUUCUUAUCUGUCCCAAAAUGGUCAAUUGCGUGGAAACUCAAGCCAUAGUGGCCCUCCUCCAAAUGUGGCAUAUGGCAUGUAUCCUUUAACAGCAAUGAACCCAAGUGGAGUGACUUCAAAUGAACCUGGUGGAUCCCCUGUUGUAAUGCUCUAUCCAUUUGACCACAAUGCCGGUUAUGGUCCACAAGGAGAACAGCUUGAGUUUGGGUCUCUGGGUCGUCCAGCAAGUGUAAAUGAACAAUCUCAGCCAGGUGAGGGAAAUCGUCAACGGGGAGCAUUUGAGCAACAGAGAUUUCAUGCAGUUUCUGGGCAACGGUCUUCUCCAGAUCAACCAUCUUCACCUCAUCAUCAAAGGAGGAUUUAAUGACUUUGGCAGAUCAGUGGCUGGAAGGAAUUAUCAUUAAAGGGUACAAAUUUGUAAUCCCUUUAAUAUUAAGCUGGAAAGAAGACGGUAACAGCCAGUCAUAUGCUCACUUUAGUUUUGCAGUGAAGAUCUGGACCACGAGUUACUCUUUAGAUUUUGCGAGGAAGUGGUCACAUCUGAUCCUUCAGCUCUUAGUUUUGUAUUUUAGCUGCAGCAACCUUCUUCAAAGAGAUAUAGGUUUAUUCUGUUCUUGUAGAGAGAUUAGCAUACUGUAAUCUCAUUGGGAAGUAGAAACUCUUCCAAGAAUUUAGAGUUUUUAACUUGUUAUAGUAGUUUUACCAUCAAAAAAAUUCAUUUUCAAUAGAAUGUAGUAGGAUUUUGUCAAGAAAAAUGUACUUGUACUAGCUUCGGCUCACUUGGGGUAUUUUUACAGUGUAGCGAUGCGACUGUGAUGCUGACACAGAAUUUAGAGUCCAAUUCGAAACAUGAUCUUUCAUCUGCUGUGCUAGUAACAUCAGGAAGUUCUCUUUUGAUUCAUGCAAUGGUUAGGAGGGGGCAUGUAUCAUAUUAUUGCUUCCAAAAAGUACGCACGUGGUGUCAAUGAAGCUGGAAUAGACCAUGGGGAGACUCAGAUUUAUACAACGGCUGGGGCAAAGAUGUCGAGUCAUUUCUUUUCAUCUGUCUAAGCUUUGUGGAGAGUUACACGGUGAUUGUGUUGGUGGAGGGAGCAGUUUUGUAUAAAGAAGAAGAAGAAGAGGUUGAGGAAGAUGAGAAGGAGGAAGACCAUGGGCAUGUGUUACGCUUUACGGAUUAGGGAUUCUUGUUUUGGUCUAUGUUACUCGGACUCUUCAAAAAUGGACACGGGUGCAUGUCGGAUCCUCCGAAAGUAGUACAUUUUUUAAGGAUCCGACACGAGUGCGGCGUCAUUUUUGAAGAGUCCGAGCAACAUAGGUUUUAGUGAUGAAAACUUACUAGCCCAGUAUCGUUUAUGAUUGAUUAAGAUGAAGAUUUUCCAGUAGUCGAUUUCCAGGCUCGGUUAGCUUUACUUAGUUGUAAUAGGUAAUAUGCCUUUUAAAAUUUGUCUUAAAUCAAAUAGAGUAUGAUCGUUGUUGGACAACUAAUUUUUCAUUCAUUUGGAAUUGUGAUUUUACCUUGCU